rnacentral:rRNA from 1 species
AAGACCUUACGCUUUUGGAGCGGCCGAUGUCUGAUUAGCUUGUUGGUGAGGUAAAGGCUUACCAAGGCUUCGAUCAGUAGCUGGUCUGAGAGGACGACCAGCCACACUGGGACUGAGACACGGCCCAGACUCCUACGGGAGGCAGCAGUGGGGAAUUUUGGACAAUGGGGGCAACCCUGAUCCAGCCAUGCCGCGUGAGUGAAGAAGGCCUUCGGGUUGUAAAGCUCUUUCAGCCGGAACGAAACGGUUACGGUUAAUACCCGUGACUACUGACGGUACCGGAAGAAGAAGCACCGGCUAACUACGUGCCAGCAGCCGCGGUAAUACGUAGGGUGCAAGCGUUAAUCGGAAUUACUGGGCGUAAAGCGUGCGCAGGUGGUUUCGUAAGUCAGAUGUGAAAUCCCCGGGCUUAACCUGGGAACU